GUUGGCGCCGCAGGUGGAGGAUUAACCAAGUGAGCCACGGCGCUGGCCCCUUAUGUUUCAUCUUAAUAUUAGGAACUACCAGUCUUGGGGUGACCAAGAUCUUCCCAUGUUUCCACAUUUCCUGUUUUCAAUAUUGGCCCUGAUGGUCUCACUCGGCAGGUGGCAAUGUCUCUUCAUUCUCUGGUCAACAUGUACUAUAAAAAAUCCAUGCUGGCAUUUUCUAGAUGCUUCCAAACAAGACUAAUCAGAAAACUCUGCUGCUCAGAAUGUAGGAACAGGAAGAUGAAAGAAAAUACUUCUUAAUGUUCAAAAGUUUUUUUUCAGAGAGCCUUGUUUAAGGUUCAAAGUGCCAUAAUUCCAUGGAUAUUAAAUAUGUUGGUCUUCACAAAUUGUCCUUAUUGGUUAUUUAAUAUGCACUUUCAUUUAGGAAAUACUGCACUCAAUUAUUUAAAUGAAAAGAUAUGUGACCUAGUAAAAUCAUCAUUUCAAACCUAAAAAUUUCAUAUAUUUUUUCUAGUAAAACAGCCGUUGUUAACUCCAAGGUCCUUUACUAUUUGUCCCAAUUCUGAUAUUUACUUAUCUUUCACUCCCCAGUCAUUAUCAUAAUUUUACAUAAUUCUAGAAUAUCUUGCUAUCUUGUAUAAC
rnacentral:lncRNA from 1 species